rnacentral:rRNA from 1 species
AAGGUGGGGAUGACGUCAAAUCAUCAUGCCCCUUAUGACCUGGGCUACACACGUGCUACAAUGGGCGGUACAAAGGGUCGCGAACCCGCGAGGGGGAGCCAAUCCCAAAAAGCCGCUCUCAGUUCGGAUUGCAGGCUGCAACUCGCCUGCAUGAAGCCGGAAUCGCUAGUAAUCGCGGAUCAGCAUGCCGCGGUCGAAUACGUUCCCGGGCCUU